CGUUUAGAAGUGGAUUCGAACCACUGACAAGGAUUUUCAGUCCUCUGCUCUGCCAAAACAGCUAUCUAAAC
rnacentral:tRNA from 4 species